UUGAAUUGAAACAACCAUAAAUAUUGAUGUAAAACUUGUGAAUUUUAUAAAUGUGCAAUUGAAAACUAAAUUACCCUCGAGUUGUGUUAUGUGAUUAUAUUUCUUUUGAUCUGCUAGUUAUUAUAAAUCUAUUCAACCAAGCCGACACUGAAUAGUAGUUACCGUUAAUAAAAUGUCGGGGAUUCUUUUUUUUUUUUUAACAACUACAGUUUCAAAUAGUUUUUUUCCAGAUACUUCACACUUUUUUUCAACAUAACUGUUGGCCCGGUUCGUUAUUUUCUCCAUUUGACGACGAAACAAAUCCACGGAUGAAUUAUCAAUUAUCUCUACUAUCAUUAUUACUAUUAUUGAUGAAAGGUUAUGAAUGGCGGGUUCGGUGAAAAUCAAUCGGUGGAAAUUUUAUAAUGAUCAAUGCGAGCUGAGAGAAAUUUCAAAAUGUUUAACCUUUCACUACACUACGAACAGAUAUUGCCGAAGAGGUAGUCAUGAUGAUGGGAACGAUCGAGGCAAUAAGGAAGUGCGUUCAGUCAUAAUUAUUAAAAAUUAAAAUCAUUUGUACAUUAAUAGUAGUGAUGGACACAAUUAGGUGUUCAGAGCCGCAGGUUAUGUAUUGAGAAUUAAUCUUUAAAACGAUUUCCUAUACCAUACUGCACAAUAGAGUUGGAUAGGUCACAAGACUUAAUGAAGAACAAUAACAGUGUAUUACACGUACUAUUCUAAACCUCUUAGCAUAGUAGAAAAUUACAAGGUGUGCACAAUAUUGCUUAAUUUUUGAAAAUCUAUGUGACGCAAAUUUUUACCAAUAUUGUUAAUUGUCGAUAAUUAUAAAUAAUAUUGAAAUUGUUGUCAUGGUAUACCUACAAUAAAAUAGUACUAAACAUAAAGGUAAA